AUUGAACGCUGGCGGCAGGCUUAACACAUGCAAGUCGAACGAGUGGCGGACGGGUGAGUAAUGCUUGGGAAACUGGCUUAUGGAGGGGGAUAACUACUGGAAACUGUAGCUAAUACCGCAUACCAUCGGAUGAGCCCAAAUGGGAUUAGCUAGUUGGUGGGGUAAAGGCUCACCAAGCCGACGAUCCCUAGCUGGUCUGAGAUGAUGACCAGCCACACUGUGACUGAGACACGGUCCAGAAUCCUACGGGAGGCAGCAGUGGGGAAUAUUGCGCAAUGGGGGCAAGCCUGACACAGCCAUGCCGCGUGUAUGAAGAAGGCCUUCGGGUUGUAAAGUUCUUUCAGUAGCGAGGCGUUAACCACAGAAGAAGCACCGGCUAACUCCGUGCCAGCCGCCGCGGUAAUUC
rnacentral:rRNA from 1 species